UCGUAACAAGGUUUCCGUAGGUGAACCUGCGGAAGGAUCAUUACCGAGUGAGGGCCCUCUGGGUCCAACCUCCCACCCGUGUUUAUUUUACCUUGUUGCUUCGGCGGGCCCGCCUUAACUGGCCGCCGGGGGGCUCACGCCCCCGGGCCCGCGCCCGCCGAAGACACCCUCGAACUCUGUCUGAAGAUUGUAGUCUGAGUGAAAAUAUAAAUUAUUUAAAACUUUCAACAACGGAUCUCUUGGUUCCGGCAUCGAUGAAGAACGCAGCGAAAUGCGAUACGUAAUGUGAAUUGCAAAUUCAGUGAAUCAUCGAGUCUUUGAACGCACAUUGCGCCCCCUGGUAUUCCGGGGGGCAUGCCUGUCCGAGCGUCAUUACUGCCCUCAAGCCCGGCUUGUGUGUUGGGCCCCGUCCUCCGAUCCCGGGGGACGGGCCCGAAAGGCAGCGGCGGCACCGCGUCCGGUCCUCGAGCGUAUGGGGCUCUGUCACCCGCUCUGUAGGCCCGGCCGGCGCUUGCCGAUCAACCCCAAUUUUUAUAGGUUGACCUCGGAUCAGGUAGGGAUACCCGCUGAACCUA
rnacentral:misc_RNA from 1 species